CAGUAGCCGCGGUAAUACAGAGGAUGCAAGCGUUAUCCGGAAUGAUUGGGCGUAAAGCGUCUGUAGGUGGCUUUUCAAGUCCGCCGUCAAAUCCCCGGGCUCAACCCUGGACAGGCAGUGGAAACUACCAAGCUGGAGUACGGUAGGGGCAGAGGGAAUUUCCGGCGGAGCGGUGAAAUGCGUUGAGAUCGGAAGGAACACCAACGGCGAAAGCACUCUGCUGGGCCGACACUGACACUGAGAGACGAAAGCUAGGGGAGCAAACAGGAUUAGAUACCCCCGUAGUCCCUGUCUCUUAUAA
rnacentral:rRNA from 1 species